CAGUAGCCACGGUAAUACGAAGGGUGCAAGCGUUACUCGGAAUUACUGGGCGUAAAGCGUGCGUAGGAGGUGGUAUAAGUCCGUUGUGAAAGCCCUGGGCUCAACCUGGGAAUUGCAGUGGAUACUGGGUCACUAGAGUGUGGUAGAGGAUAGUGGAAUUUCCGGUGUAGCAGUGAAAUGCGUAGAGAUCGGAAGGAACAUCGGUGGCGAAGGCGACUAUCUGGGCCAACACUGACACUGAGGCACGAAAGCGUGGGGAGCAAACAGGAUUAGAUACCCCAGUAGUCCCUGUCUCUUAUAC
rnacentral:rRNA from 1 species